AGGUGCCACAAGACUCCUCCUUGUUUUUGCUGAAACAGAUGAACACGGCUACCACUCUGAAACUUUUCUUUCUUGAGUAGCAUAAAGAAAGGCCAUAGCUAGUGAAGACUGCUCAUAGAUUAGUCAAUCUGUGGGCUAGUCCCAUGCCCUUCCCCCGAGAUAGUAGAAAAACAAGAUUCUAUUCUUGUUUGAGUACAUUUAACAAGAAGUUUCAUGGCUAAUUAGCAAAAAAGGCGCAUAUGACAACUAAUUGGCAAAAAAAGGUGCAUAUGACACUCGAUGCUCCUAUUUUGGCCUCUUUCAUGAUUGUCAAAUUGUGGCUUUAGGUCCAUUUUAUAGACUCUUCUGAAAGAACUCCCAAUUUUCAUUCACACUUUUCUGUUUAACUUUUUCUUUUCAGUCAAUAUUACUUAUAUUUUCCCUCACCUUUGAGAAAUUAGCCCUUUUGAAGUCUAAACUAUAUGUAUAAUUAGUAGGGAAUGCAUUCUGUUUCCCCAUCCUCAAUGUGAUCAGGUGUUAAUCACAAGUGCCUAGACAAACAGUUAAGUGAUUAAUUCAUCAUUUCCCAUCCCACUGUAUAUUUUAGAAAUGCUAAUGAUGUUUAUGACAGUCUGCACUGGACUUCCAGCAGUGGAGUGUAACUGGCAAGAAGUCAAACAGAUUUACUGAGGAAUAGAUGUAAAUACAGUUGCUCUGUGAAAAAAGACAACUUUUGCUAGUGAAUAAGGAGGGAGAGGGGAAAACUUACCUGCUAGAGAAUGAUCUUCUUUCAUUUCUGAAUGUGGAGAAGAAAACAACAUUUUUCAUUGACUAAUCAUAUUUGUAUUUCUCAGGUCUACAAGCAUACACACAUACACACACAUACAUGCACACGCACAAACUCAUCUUCCCAUUGCCUGAUCCCGCAACCACUGAUGCUAAUGGAAAACAUCUUUUAACUUUAAUGGGUGCAAUACUGAGACUAGAGUGUCUGUCUAUUGAAAACACCACUCUGCAGCUUACCAUCUUCAGACUGAAAUGUUUUCUACAAAAAAUGGGGAGAAGAAGAAAAUAAUUCAGUCCCCUAGAAAUGUACCUGUUGGACAAUCAACG